ACUGAUUGAUGGUGCUUGCACCUGAUUGACGAUGGAUCACCAGUGAGUGGCGGACGGGUGAGUAACACGUAGGUAACCUGCCCCGGAGCGGGGGAUAACAUUUGGAAACAGAUGCUAAUACCGCAUAACAACAAAAGCCACAUGGCUUUUGUUUGAAAGAUGGCUUUGGCUAUCACUCUGGGAUGGACCUGCGGUGCAUUAGCUAGUUGGUAAGGUAACGGCUUACCAAGGCGAUGAUGCAUAGCCGAGUUGAGAGACUGAUCGGCCACAAUGGAACUGAGACACGGUCCAUACUCCUACGGGAGGCAGCAGUAGGGAAUCUUCCACAAUGGGCGCAAGCCUGAUGGAGCA
rnacentral:rRNA from 2 species